rnacentral:rRNA from 1 species
UCCUACGGGAGGCAGCAGUGAGGAAUAUUGGUCAAUGGGCGGGAGCCUGAACCAGCCAAGCCGCGUGAAGGAAGAAGGCGCCAAGCGUCGUAAACUUCUUUUGUCGGGGAACAAAGGGCGCCACGUGUGGCGUUGUGAGUGUACCCGAAGAAAAAGCAUCGGCUAACUCCGUGCCAGCAGCCGCGGUAAUACGGAGGAUGCGAGCGUUAUCCGGAUUUACUGGGUGUAAAGGGAGCGUAGGCGGCCUGGCAAGCCUGAUGUGAAAUACCGGGGCCCAACCCCGGGGCGGCAUUGGGAACUGCCAG